rnacentral:siRNA from 1 species
AACACUAUCAUUGAUGCUCUUUGC